UCCGGUUUGUCACCGGCAGUCUCAUUAGAGUGCCCUUUCGUAGCAACUAAUGACAAGGGUUGCGCUCGUUGCGGGACUUAACCCAACAUCUCACGACACGAGCUGACGACAGCCAUGCACCACCUGUGCACGAGCCCCGAAGGGCUGCCGUGUUUCCACGACAUUCCCGUGCAUGUCAAGCCUUGGUAAGGUUCUUCGCGUCGCGUCGAAUUAAACAACAUGCUCCGCUGCUUGUGCGGGCCCCCGUCAAUUCCUUUGAGUUUCAGCCUUGCGGCCGUACUCCCCAGGCGGAGUGCUUAAUGGGUUACCUUCGGCACUGGAGAGGUCGAUGCCUCCAACACCUAGUGAGCACCGUUUACGGCUAGGACUAC
rnacentral:misc_RNA from 1 species